AUACGGAGGAUCCGAGCGUUAUCCGGAUUUAUUGGGUUUAAAGGGUGCGCAGGCGGCCAUUUAAGUCAGCGGUUAAAUCGUGGGGCUCAACCCCAUUCUGCCGUUGAUACUGGGUGGCUUGAUUGCGGUCGAGGUUGGCGGAAUUCGUUGUGUAGCGGUGAAAUGCAUAGAUAUGACGAAGAACACCGAUUGCGUAGGCAGCUGACCAGACCGCAAAUGACGCUCAUGCACGAAAGUGCGGGGAUCGAACAGGAUUAGAUACCCUGGUAGUCCGCACAGUAAACGAUGAAUACUUGUUUUCGGCGAUAUAAUGUCGGAGGCAAAGCGAAAGCGAUAAGUAUUCCACCUGGGGAGUACGCCGGCAACGGUGAAAAUCAAAUGAAUUGACGGG
rnacentral:rRNA from 1 species